UGGCUUUUUUAUUAGUUGUAAGCAGAAUUACACAUGCGAGUAUCCCCAAGCCAGUGAGGAUGCCCUUUAUAAUCGAUUCCGAUGAAAAGGAGCGGGUAUCAAGUUCACACAAAAGUAGCUCAUCACACCUUGUAGAACCACGCCCCCACGGGUAACAGCAGUGAUAAAAAUUAAGCUAUGAACGAAAGUUCGACUUAGUCAUGCAAUACAAUUAGGGUUGGUAAAUCUCGUGCCAGCCACCGCGGUCAUACGAUUAACCCGAAUUAAUAAACAACCGGCGUAAAGAAUGUUUAAGGUUAUAACAAAACUAAGAUUAAAUCUUGUCUGUGUCGUAAAAAAUUAUAGAUAAGACGAAACUCAAUAAACGCAGGUAAUCUUACAAUAUCUGAACACAUGACAGCUUGGGUACAAACUGGGAUUAGAUACCCCACUAUGCCAAGCCGUAAACACAAAAUAUUAAAUAGAACGAAAAGUUUCGCCAGAGAACUACUAGCCACGGCUAAAAACUCAAAGGACUUGGCGGUGCUUUACACCCACCUAGAGGAGCCUGUUC
rnacentral:rRNA from 1 species